UGAAGAUCUUGGUGACUGAGUGGCGGACGGGUGAGUAACGCGUGGGUAACCUGCCUCAUACAGGGGGAUAACAGUUAGAAAUGACUGCUAAUACCGCAUGACGCAUAGGGGUCGCAUGAUCUUUAUGCCAAAGAUUUAUCGCUUCAAGAUGGACCCGCGUCUGAUUAGCUAGUUGGCAGGGCAACGGCCUACCAAGGCGACGAUCAGUAGCCGACCUGAGAGGGUGACCGGCCACAUUGGGACUGAGACACGGCCCAAACUCC
rnacentral:rRNA from 1 species